GAGGUGGGGGGUUUUGCUGCGAUUGUUAUGUUGGAAGGGGUGAGUUUGGUGGCGAUUCAAAGUCUCAUUGUUGAUAUCCGGCAAGAAAGUGAGAGUGAAAGGGAGAGAGAGGAGCGUGGCGAUGGAGCUAAGUGGGUUAGAUUCAGAUGGCAAACAGUUCAAGAAUGCAGAACAAAUGUAGAGACAACAAAUUGGCCAAGAAGGCCAGCCCCACAAGAAGACUCAGUGGUACCGCGAAGGCGUUUCAUAUUGGGAUGUAAGUCGUUUUCAUUUUUCUUUUAAUUGAAUGUGAUUGUUCCUUUUAAAUUUUUUCUUUCUUGUUGUAUCAGUUUGUUAAAAUCAGCUAAUUGAAAGUUUUGUGUUGUGAGUUCUGAGAAAAUGGCGUGGAGGCAUCGGUUGAUGGCGUUUUGGGUGGCUUUGGUAAAGGGCAAUGAAUCUUUUUUACAGACCCUUUUCUUUGAACGCAAGAAGUGCAGCCAUCUUCUGGAGGACCAUCAGGGGGAUCUUCAACCGCAAUUGCUAGUCCUGCUUCAGUUUCUGGUGGUAAUGCAACUGGGUCAAUGCAUGAACCUGCCCAAGUUAAAUUUGCAAAUGCCUCUGAUUAUGCCGUUCCAUCUUUGACAUUCUCUUACAACGCUGGAGGGUCUCAGCAGUCAACAUCAUCUUCUGUCAGUGCCAGCUUUCGUUGUUUUUCUUACUUAUCUAUAAAUCUUAUUUAACUUGUAUCUCUUCUUUUAUUUUCUUCGUAUGUUUUAAAUGCAGGUCAUUAACUCAAAUCCAUCAGCAUCACCAGUGGCCUUUCAACCUCCGAUAACUAGGUCGGCUUCUUCUUCAGAAAAGAUGAUUUUUAAUGAUUUGCAAUUACAAAAAACAAAGGAAGCACUAUAAGCAAAAAAGCUGUGAAAUAUGACCAAAAACUUAGAUGUCUAGACAACCACCAAGAGCAAAAUCCUAAACAGAAAAGUAAUUACAAAACCAUGUGUAGUUUAUGUGGUCUUCCAGCAAUAGCAAAAUCUCCUCUAUGUACAGUCAUGAACAACCUUUUUUCUUAUUCCAAGUUACCAUAAGAUAGCCAUCAUCACACAAUCCUACAAUACAGAGGCUUUAUACUCCUCAGGUUAGAUUCAGAUGGCAAAUAGUUGAAGAACGCAGAACAAAUGUGGAGACAACAAAUUGGCCAAGAAGGCGAGCCCCACAAGAAUACUCAGUGGUACCGUGAAGGUGUUUCAUAUUGAGAAAUUGUGGUUUUGGGAUUGGGAGAAUCAUCAAGAAUCUUUUAAUAAGAUAUUUUAAUGAGAUGAUGGAGGUGAGGGGGCUUGUUGCGGUUGUUAAGUUGGCUUCUCCCUGCUCUUUUCCAAUCGUCCAAUUUCAUUCAUUUCUCAGCGAAUCAGAUUUCGUUUUCGCCCAAUUUCAUUCAUUUCUCA